rnacentral:rRNA from 1 species
UACGGGGGAUGCAAGCGUUAUCCGGAAUCAUUGGGCGUAAAGCGCCUGUAGGUGGUUUAUUAAGUCUGUUGUUAAAGACUAGGGCUCAACCCUAGAAAAGCAAUGGAAACUAAUAGACUUGAGUAUGGUAGGGGUAGAGGGAAUUUCUAGUGUAGCGGUGAAAUGCGUAGAUAUUAGAAAGAACACCAGUGGCGAAAGCGCUCUACUGGACCAUUACUGACACUCAGAGGCGAAAGCUAGGGUAGCAAAUGGG